AACGAACGCUGGCGGCAGGCCUAACACAUGCAAGUCGAACGCUCCGCAAGGGGAGUGGCGCACGGGUGAGUAACACGUGGGAACCUACCUUCUGGUACGGAACAACCAAGGGAAACUUUGGCUAAGACCGUAUACGACCUCCGGGUGAAAGAUUGAUCGCCGGAAGAGGGGCCCACGUCCGAUUAGGUAGUUGGUGAGGUAACGGCUCACCAAGCCUUCGAUCGGUAGCUGGUCUGAGAGGAUGACCAGCCACACUGGGACUGAGACACGGCCCAGACUCCUACGGGAGGCAGCAGUGGGGAAUAUUGGACAAUGGGCGCAAGCCUGAUCCAGCCAUGCCGCGUGAGUGAUGAAGGCCUCGGUU
rnacentral:rRNA from 1 species